CAGAAAAUAGUUUAAUUUAGAAUACUAGCUUUGGGAGUUAGUGGUGGAAGUUGAAAUCUUUCUUUUCUGG
rnacentral:tRNA from 1 species